AUGAAGAUCAGAGCCAUCCACUCCCUUUUCUCCGCCGUUUCUCGGAAACCCACCACUUGUUUCUCGUCGUGGAGGACUCAAUGGUCUCUGCUCAGCUGUGGAAGAACUGUUUCCUUGAGAAAAAAAUCUUCUUGUUGCCUCCAAAAACCACCACAGAGCAAUCAGGUUAAGUGGGAGGAGAAGAUGUGGAUAGAAACAUCAUGCCGUAUUGCAGCAUCAACAAGGCUGAGAAGAGUUGAUGUGGGAAGGAAUCAGUGUUGUCAUUGUAAGUAAUCAACUAUUAUUUUUGUUUUUGGUUUCUUAGGGUAAAGGCUUCAUUUUUGGUUUGGUUAAAGGAAACAGUAUGUUCUGAUGAACAGAGAUUGUUGGAAGCUUCAAUGGCUUGUGUUGAAAUCCGAUCCUCAAUGAUGAAGAAUUUGAUCAGCUCAAACUCAAAGUUAAGAUGGAUGGUAGUGAGAUUGUGUGUGAGGGUCCAAGGUGCAGUCUAGGUAGUAAGAAGGAAAGCAAUGUUGUGAUCAAGCAAAGUUGGGGAACAAAUACCCAUUACUCAAAGCAUUGAAUUCAAGGUCAAAGUCAAGAAUGUUGGUGCCAGUUUUGUCAAGAUCAUCAGAGACGCGUUGCAUCAGGCGUUUAUGCCGAAGCAGGAGUGCGAGAGCCUCAGGGAGGAAGAAGAUAUAGCUUUGAUUAAGCUUCAGCGACAGUGGGUUUCAUUUGCGUUGUCAUCUUCACUGCACGAUCUUCACCUUGAAAAUUGUGUUUCCUUCGAAUGUUCUGAAGAGGCCGUUCUGCGGCGACGUAAAGCUACAGCCUUUGAAUAUGUAUGGCAACUCUGAUGUGUAUCCAGGUGCUUUUUACUUGACGGAUCAAGAGACUGUGGAUUUCUACUGGAUGGUUGUGUUCCUUCCGUCGAUGAUGAUCUUCUUAGUGUCAUCUGUUUAUCUUGUAGCAGGAAUUUUUGUGGCUUAUUCGGCUCCUCACCGUCAUUGUUGAAAAUAACUAUUGUGCUUCAAGAAGAGGUGGGGUUCGUUGCCUGUCAAUCCUGAAUGUUGUGUUUGCUAUCAUCUACGGUCUCCUCGCUAUAUUUCUCGGCUCAAGCCUGCUGGCACUAGGAAGCAGCUGUUCUGUGCCACUGUUUUGGUGCUACGAGAUAUCUUCAUGGGGUUUGGUAAUUUUGUAUGCUGGAACUGCUUUCUUCCUUAGGAGAAGAGCAGACGCUUUAACUAUUGACGAAGGAGAGUUUGGGAACAGAAAUCAUCAGGGCUUGGAGAUGCUUGAAGCUAAUCCUUUGGAAUUCACACCAGAUGUCGAAAGACGAGUGAACCAAGGGUUUAAAGCAUGGAUGGGUAAUCUUUGUUAUCAUCUGAUGAAGAAGACGAACCUUAGUAUUACAAUGAAGUUCCCAAUGUAACAGCGCAUACUCUUUCUAGCCGGCAAAGAUCAUGAUUCUUGAGAAGAAGUAUUUGGUAUGAUGGUAACAAAGACAGAUAGUCACCUCAAGAGAUGGUUUCUUCAGAGACUGAGCUCACCAAAUUUUUGCCUUGGACUGAUCAUGAGAUGAUUGUGGAUCCAGAAGAUAAAUCAGAGCAAGUAGCCAGUAGGAGUGUUGAGGUUGUAGAUAUACAUACAGUGUAUCAUCAAAACUGGGUUUGGUCAGUCCACCGUCUGUUUUGAUCUUUUACAUUGGUUUCGGAAUCUUGAAGUUGGAGUGUAGGCCUAACUGUACAUUUUGACCGUACAGUAACCUUCAUAUAUUCACAUUAAAGUAAGCCAAAAAAUGACGUUCAACAGUGUUUGAAAUUCAUACAAUGUAAAAGUUAAUUUAUUGAGAACAAAUAUCUUUUGACCGUA